AUAUUAUUAUUGCAUAUUUCAGUACAAUCUAUAUAUUAAAUAUUUCAAUUUCAUUCAUGGCUGUCUAACAAAAAAGUGUUAUUUAAUAUUUAAUGAGAAUUCUAGGUGAAAUAUUUUCUCUUUGAUAAAAAAUAUUGAAUAUUCAGGGUGAGUCUUUGACUCGUACAUAACAUUAACAGUAGAUUCUUGUGGUUGAAAGGAACACUUUUUUCCUUUACCAUAUUUUCCGAUUCGGCCUAGAUGAGAAGUAGGGAUGGGCAAGAGACAGAAAACUAUUGAUGUUUAUUGUAUCGAUAUUUUCUGACAAUAUAUCGACAUGUAUCGAAAUAUGUAACAGUAAAAAUAUCCAUAUAUAUCGAUGUUAUAUUUUGGUGUGGGGAAAUUCUGUUGAAUUCAAUAAAGUUUUUCUAUCUUAGAAGAGGAUAAUAAGCUUCAGAUGACGAGAUUCAGUUGAAAACGACAUUUUCAAUAGUUUGCUCCCAUUUUUAUGGAAUAUUUUCGUUAAGCAUAAUUUCAGUUUUGAGAUAUUCAUUUCAAAAUUUCAAAAAGUAUCAACUUCGAUAUUUUUCAAUAUUUCGCAUUAUGAUUUCGACCACACGAAAGAUAUUAUGUUCUAGUUUCAUAGACAUUGCGAGAAAAAUAAAAUAAUGAUUACACAGCAGAAAGGAUUUUUCAAGAACGCUCAAGGAUGUAAGAAACAGCUGGAAAUAUAUUUCAUCAUAUGCAACCAAGCCAUCAAGAAACAUAGAAACCUUUUCAUGACUUAUUUUGUUUAUAAGAAGGCUUCGACUCGACUCCACAUGGCUGGCUGAAGAAAAUUUUGGAAAAAUACAAGAUCGAUCUAAUUAUAACAAAUUUUCUAAAGCUUGUAAUGGGCAAUUGCAAACGAACAUCGAGCUUUCCACGACAAACAUAAAAACCAGGCUGAUUCCAAUUGAGGGAAUUUUCCAAGGAGUCUUUUAGCCCUUUAUGGUUCUGCUUGGCGCUGAAGCCAUUCUCUAAACAGCUGAACGUUACUGAGAAAGGUUUCAACAUUAGAGGGAAUAAUAAUAUUACCACCCUCAAUCUUUUGCUGUACAUGGAUGAUUUGAAACUGAUAAUAGGCAAUAAGAACCACCUAGAAAUUAUGGUCAAACUAGUGGAAAAUUUUUCAAAAAAUGUUGGUAUGGAAUUUGGAUUGGACAAGUGUCGUACUCUCAGAUUAGUGGGAGGAAGAAUUCAAGAUGAUCCGAUUACUCUUGCAAAUGGUCAGGAAAUAGAAGCAAUGAAGUCGGAUGAUCUUUACAAAUACCUUGGAAUGAAAUAGAACCCAUGAGUCAACCACAAAAGAAUGAAGCAAGAAUUAACUACUGAGUUCGUUAGGAGAACCAAAAAAAUCUCAAAAACAAACCUCAACAGCAGGAACAUGGCGAGAGCCAUAUACACAUAAGCAUGUUCAAUUCUAACAUACUCAUUCGGAAUAGUUCCAUGGAGCAAAACAUACAUCGAAAACUUGCAACGUAAAAUGAGUACGCUGAUGAGCAAACAAGCAUCAUUCGAAAAGCAGCAUUGAGAGGACUACACUGCCGAGAAAUAAAGGAGGCAGGGGUCUAACGGAUAUCAUGUAACUUGCUAAUGGGCAGAUAGAAAGCCUACAGGAAUACUUCAGAGAUCAAGCAAGUACAUCAGAGGUCUACAAAAUAAUGUGUGAAACAGAGGAAUCAACACAUCUACAGCUGUUUUUCUACAACCAUCAUACAAACCAAGAAAAACUACAAAGAUGGAAAGAGAAACCCCUGCAUGGAAGACAUUUCAACGAGAAUACGGUCCCAGGGUCAUGUCGACAUUGAAGCGUCGAACUAUUGGCUCACAUCAGGUGCAAUGUAUUCAGAAACGGAAGGUUUUAUUUUAACCAUACAAGAUCAAGUGAUCUCAACGAGGAACUACUGCAGGCAGAUCAUAAAGAAUCGAACUAUUUCUGACGAUCGAUGCCGAUAUGGGUGUCCAACGAAUAAGACAAUCCAACAUACUCCUAUCACGGGAGGAUGUCAAAUGUUUGCAGGAAAUGAAUAUAAAGAGAGACACGAUGCAGUAGGAAAGAUACCAAACCAAGAAUUGGAAAGCAAAUUAAAACUAAUUCAUUCUGAAAAAAUGCCAUACUACAAGUACCGACCGGAGACCAUCCUGGAAAACGAACGCUAUAAGCUGUACUGGAUUCGUACGGUUUUGAUUGAUAAAACAGUCCCUCACAACAGACCAUAUAAAUUAAUAGUCGAUAAACAUCAAAAGACAGCAUUAAGCUAGGUUGACAUGGGUAGUGCAUGGCGUUCGUUGAUUUCACUUUCUUAUUCACGGGAAUAGUAUGACGUAUAUUCGUAUUUCAAGAAGCUCGCUGCUAGAUCGAGACUAACAUGUUUGAUAUCCCAGUUUACGUUCGUGUCGCCUUUCGAAACCAUCCGUUUCGAGAAUAAUUUCAUAACUCUUCCGUUGACACGAGUCGAUCUCCAUACAUAACUAACCUCGCUUGUGUUUCACUACCCAUGUCAACUAGGAUUAAGGUAUGAUCAGACCGACGCGGGACUUCGGGAUCGGAAACGGGAGCGAUGCGUUAGUUGCGCCAGCGGACAUAUUGCAUAUCAUGCACACCUACGCGAAAUAAUGAGAUACGAUUAUUAGUAUGAAUCAAAAAUUAUGUAUCACAGUGACAGUUUUUCGGAAGGAGGAGUUUUACUGCUCAACGCCGUUGAUUUUAAUCCCGCUAAAGUUCCUUUCUUGCUCCCGCAGUCCCGCGUCUGUUCAUACCUUUUAUCGUUCAUUUCGUGAAUAUUUGUGCGACUGUUCCGUUGACACGAGUCGUUUUCCAAGUAUUCUUGAACCAAAGCUGUGAUCCACUAGCCAUGUCAACCUAGCUUUACUCAUCGACGUAGCAAUACUAAAUAACAACCUGCGUCAAAGGAGGUCGAAAAAAUUUCAAAGUAUAUGGACCUUGAAUUUCAAAUAAAGCGUCGUUGGGGAAUGAUAUCAAUGAAACUAUUCCAAUUAUCAAAAAUUGGAAGAGUACCCAAAAAUCUCAAGAGGAAUAUCUAGCAAGUAGUGGUCAAUGAGUAUAUACGUAAUAUAAUGCAAAAAGCUGUACUUUUAGGAACUGCAAGGACGGUGAGAAAAUUCCUAGGAGGUGACGGACAGGUCCAAGGAUCGGCGAGAUUAUGUGAAAGAGGACCUGAAGUUCGACAAGGAUCAGGGGGGCUACAAGGACCGGACACGACCGAACUCUAUCCUUAUGAUAUUUAAAAUAUUUGGGAUUGAGUGAAUGUUCCUCUUAGCGGGGAAUGAGAAAGCCGACGGCGAGGAGAUUUUUCUAUCUAACGAGUAUAGGCUAGAGUCGGGGAUAAUAAUAAUCCUCUUUAUUUUAUAGUAUGUAACUACAACUAGUUGCUUGUAGUUGUGUGAGCUGAGAAAAUAUGCUUAUUUUUGAAAAAGAAAAUUGAACAUUCUGCUAAAUAUAUACCAUAAAAAUAUAUUGUAAGUAAUUUGUUUCUUCUAAAUACACUUCUACAUGACUAAUUAAAUUUCAUUUUGAACAUA